rnacentral:sRNA from 1 species
CUCCUUUUCCUACUGUGGCAUUCUGUUAUCUGAAGUCAAACGUACCUGAAUGUGUCCUAUUGUGUUACUCAACUCACUUCUGAAUAUGGUUCUGUUUUGCAUACCACCAACCCACAUAACCAUUUCUGAAUCUCUUGUUUCACACUGCUCCAGUGACAACUUGAUUCACAGGCCAAACUAGUGAGAAUUGCGGCGAGCAGUAAGAAGCAGUGUGUGGAAAAGGGAGACGAUUGUUCAUCAACAUGAGUAUGGACCAGAAGAAAACCUAGAAGAUGACAUGUACCGUAAGACUUGUACUAUGUGUGGCCAUGAACUGACAUAUGAAAAAAUGUGAUUUUUUAGUUCAGUGACCUGUUUUAUAGAAUUUUAUAUUUAAAUAAAGGAAAUUUAGAUUGGUCCUUUUCAAAAUUCAAAAAAAAAAAAAAACGCAACAUCUUCAUAGAUGAAUGAAACCCUUGUAUAAGUAAUACUUCAGUAAUAAUUAUGUAUGUUAUGGCUUAAAAGCAAGUUUCAGUGAAGGUCACCUGGCCUGGUUGUGUGCAGAAUGUCAUGUCUGUGAUUGCUUUCUUACAACAGAGAUGGGAGCUGAGUGCUAGAGUAGGUGCAGAAGUGGUUAGGUCAGCUACAAAUUUGAGGACAAGAUACCAAGGCAAACCCUAGAUUGGGGUAGAGGGAAAAGGGUUCAACAAAGGCCGAACUGGAUUCUUAACCAA